rnacentral:rRNA from 1 species
UUGACCUCGGAUCAGGUAGGAAUACCCGCUGAACUUAAGCAUAUCAAUAAGCGGAGGAAAAGAAACCAACAGGGAUUGCCCCAGUAACGGCGAGUGAAGCGGCAACAGCUCAAAUUUGAAAUCUGGCCCUCGCGGGUCCGAGUUGUAAUUUGUAGAGGAUGCUUUUGGUGAGGCGCCGCCUGAGUUCCCUGGAACGGGACGCCAUAGAGGGUGAGAGCCCCGUCUGGCUGGCCGCCGAGCCUCUGUAAAGCUCCUUCGACGAGUCGAGUAGUUUGGGAAUGCUGCUCAAAAUGGGAGGUAUAUGUCUUCUAAAGCUAAAUAUUGGCCAGAGACCGAUAGCGCACAAGUAGAGUGAUCGAAAGAUGAAAAGCACUUUGAAAAGAGGGUUAAACAGUACGUGAAAUUGUUGAAAGGGAAGCGCUCGUGACCAGACUUGGGCUUGGCGAAUCAUCCAGGGUUCUCCCUGGUGCACUUUGCCUUGCUCAGGCCAGCAUCAGUUCGCCGCGGGGGAUAAAGGCGUCGGGAACGUGGCUCCCUCGGGAGUGUUAUAGCCCGUCGUGUAAUACCCUGGGGC